AGCGAACGCUGGCGGCAGGCCUAACACAUGCAAGUCGAACGAAGUCUUCGGACUUAGUGGCGGACGGGUGAGUAACACGUGGGAACGUACCUUUUGGUUCGGAACAACUCAGGGAAACUUGAGCUAAUACCGGAUGAGCCCUUAGGGGGAAAGAUUUAUCGCCGAAAGAGCGGCCCGCGUUAGAUUAGCUAGUUGGUGAGGUAAAGGCUCACCAAGGCUACGAUCUAUAGCUGGUCUGAGAGGAUGAUCAGCCACACUGGGACUGAGACACGGCCCAGACUCCUACGGGAGGCAGCAGUGGGGAAUCUUGCGCAAUGGGCGAAAGCCUGACGCAGCCAUACCGCGUGAAUGAUGAAGGUCUUAGGAUUGUAAAAUUCUUUUACCAGGGACGAUAAUGACGGUACCUGGAGAAAAAGCCCCGGCUAACUUCGUGCCAGCCGCCGCUGUAACAC
rnacentral:rRNA from 1 species